rnacentral:rRNA from 1 species
UACGUAGGGGGCGAGCGUUGUCCGGAUUCAUUGGGCGUAAAGAGCUCGUAGGCGGCUUGGUAAGUCGGGUGUGAAACCUCCAGGCUCAACCUGGAGACGCCACUCGAUACUGCCAUGGCUAGAGUCCGGUAGGGGCCCACGGAAUUCCGGGUGGAGUGGUGAAAUGCGUAGAGAUCCGGAGGAACACCAAAGGCGAAGGCAGUGUCCUGGGGAGUACCUGACGCUCAGGUGCGAAAGCCAGGGGAGCGAACGGG